UACAGAGGGUGCAAGCGUUAAUCGGAUUUACUGGGCGUAAAGCGUGCGUAGGCGGUUCAUUAAGUCGGUUGUGAAAUCCCUGGGCUUAACCUGGGAACUGCAGUCGAUACUGGCGGACUAGAGUACGGUAGAGGGUGGCGGAACUCCGGGUGUAGCGGUGAAAUGCGUAGAUAUCCGGAAGAACACCGAUGGCGAAGGCAACCACCUGGGCCUGUACUGACGCUGAGGUACGAAAGCGUGGGGAGCAAACAGG
rnacentral:rRNA from 1 species